GACGAACGCUGGCGGCGUGCUUAACACAUGCAAGUCGAACGGAAAGGCCCUGAUCUUGUGGGUUGCUCGAGUGGCGAACAGGUGAGUAAAACGUGAGUAACCUGUCCCUGACUUUGGGAUAACUUCUGGAAACUGGGGCUAAUACCGGAUAGGAGCUCCUGCUGCAUGGUGGGGGAUGGAAAGUUUCGGCGGUUGGGGAUGGGCUAGCUGGUUAUCCGCUUGUUUGUGUGGUUGUGGCUUACGAAGCCUUUGAAGGGUAGCCGACCUGAGAGGGUGACCGGCCACAUUAGGACUGAGAGACGCCCCAGACUGCUACGGGAGGCAGUGGUGGGGAAUAUGGCGCAAUGGGCGGAAGCCUGAUGCAGAAACGCCGCGAGCGGGAUGACGGCCUUCGAGUUGUAAACCGCUGUCGCCGUUGACGAGGCGUGAGUGACGGUAAUGGGUAAAGAAGCACCGGCUAACUACGUG
rnacentral:rRNA from 1 species